CCGUGCAGCUGGGGAGUUAGCGGUGCCCUGUACCUGCAAUCCGCUAUAGCAGGAGUGAUGUUUUGCCUCGGGUGAUUUUUUGUGAUGCUGCCCUUUAAAAGUGAUGUUGACGUUUGGGUCUUACGCAAUAGAACUUCGCGAACUGUGUCAGGUCAGGAAUGAAGCAGCACUAAGCGGAAUUUUCUAUGUGCCGUGAGGGUGCCUGAGCCGAGUUAACUGUAAAGGUAACGGUUGUAAAAGACAUUCAAAGCAGAACGCACGG
rnacentral:SRP_RNA from 1 species